rnacentral:rRNA from 1 species
UCCCCGGGAAAGCCUUGACGGCGCGGGAUGGGGUCGCGGCCCAUUAGGUAGACGGCGGGGUAACGGCCCACCGUGCCCGCGAUGGGUAGCCGGACUGAGAGGUCGACCGGCCACAUUGGGACUGAGAUACGGCCCAGACUCCUACGGGAGGCAGCAGUGGGGAAUUUUGCGCAAUGGGGGGAACCCUGACGCAGCAACGCCGCGUGCGGGACGAAGGCCUUCGGGUUGUAAACCGCUUUCAGCAGGGAAGACAUAGACGGUACCUGCAGAAGAAGCUCCGGCUAACUACGUGCCAGCAGCCGCGGUAAUACGUAGGGGGCGAGCGUUAUCCGGAUUCAUUGGGCGUAAAGCGCGCGUAGGCGGCCGCCUAAGCGGAACCUCUAAUCCCGGGGCUCAACCUCGGGCCGGGUUCCGGACUGGGCGGCUCGAGUGCGGUAGAGGCAGGCGGAAUUCCCGGUGUAGCGGUGGAAUGCGCAGAUAUCGGGAAGAACACCGAUGGCGAAGGCAGCCUGCUGGGCCGCCACUGACGCUGAGGCGCGAAAGCUGGGGGAGCGAACAGGAUUAGAUACCCUGGUAGUCCCAGCCGUAAAC